rnacentral:rRNA from 1 species
GAGAGGGAGCCUGAGAAACGGCUACCACAUCCAAGGAAGGCAGCAGGCGCGCAAAUUACCCAAUCCCGACACGGGGAGGUAGUGACAAUAAAUAACAAUACGGGGCUCAUUUGGGUCUCGUAAUUGGAAUGAGUACAAUUUAAAUCUCUUAACGAGGAACAAUUGGAGGGCAAGUCUGGUGCCAGCAGCCGCGGUAAUUCCAGCUCCAAUAGCGUAUAUUAAAGUUGUUGCAGUUAAAAAGCUCGUAGUUGAACUUCGGGGUUUACCCAUUGGUCAGGCUUAAUUGUCUGUACUGGUGAGAUAAAUCUCUACCUUCUGAGGAACUUUCAUGUCAUUAAUUUGGUGUGAUUGGAAAUCAGGACUGUUACUUUGAAAAAAUUAGAGUGCUUAAAGCAGGCUAACGUCUGAAUACAUUAGCAUGGAAUAAUGAAAUAGGACGGAUUGAUUCUAUUUCGUUGGUUUCUAGGAUCACCGUAAUGAUUAAUAGGGAUAGUUGGGGGCAUUAGUAUUCAAUUGUCAGAGGUGAAAUUCUUGGAUUUAUUGAAGACUAACUACUGCGAAAGCAUUUGCCAAGGAUGUUUUCAUUAAUCAAGAACGAAAGUUAGGGGAUCGAAGACGAUCAGAUACCGUCGUAG